rnacentral:rRNA from 1 species
UACGUAGGGGGCAAGCGUUGUCCGGAUUCAUUGGGCGUAAAGAGCGUGUAGGCGGCCUGAAAGGUCAGCUGUGAAAACUCGAGGCUCAACCUCGAGACGUCGGUUGAAACCAUCUGGCUAGAGUCCGGAAGAGGAGUGUGGAAUUCCCGGUGUAGCGGUGAAAUGCGCAGAUAUCGGGAGGAACACCUGUGGCGAAAGCGGCGCACUGGACCAUAACUGACGCUGAGGCGCGAAAGCUAGGGGAGCAAACAGG